rnacentral:tRNA from 1 species
UAAGACAUGGUGUUUUAGCACGUUAAUUUUUGAKAUUAAAAGAAGUAGGUAAAUACUAGUUGUUUUAA